AGAGGAGGAGACUAGCAAGAGGAGGAGAUGAGGAGACGAGCGAGAGGAGGAGAAGAGGAGAGGAGGAGAUGAGCGAGAGGAGGAGAGGAGGAGAUGAGCGAGAGAAGGAGAGGAGGAGACUAGCAAGAGGAGGAGAUGAGGAGACGAGCGAGAGGAGGAGAGGAGGAGAUGAGCGAGAGGAGGAGAUGAGCGAAAGGAGGAGAGGAGGAGAUGAGCGAGAGGAGGAGGGGAGAACUCUACAGUGGAGUGAGUUACAAGCUUUGGGACUUUGGGGAUUGGGUGUAAGAGCGAAAGAAAGAGAGGAGGUUUAAAGCACAGACAGCAAGACACAGAGAAAGAGAGACAAUAUUUUCUCCAUUGUAGCACAAGCUUAAAAGCAGAGGGGAGGUAGCCCUGACACACACAGAAGAAUGAGUAUUCUGUAUUAAGGGUCAGUGAGACACAGAGAAAGAGAGAGAAAGCUAAAGAGGGAUGGAGAGAGAAAGAGAUAAGCUCAAUAGAGAGAGAGAGAGAGAGAGCAAGAGAGCGAGAGAGAAAGUGAGAGAGAGAGCAAGAGAGGGAGAGAGUGAGAGAAAGAGUGAGAGAGAGAGCAAGAGAAAGAGAGAGAAAGAGUGAGAGAGAAUGAGUGAGAGAAAAGAGAGAGAGAAAAGAAAAGCACAACCUGACUGAAAUAAUGGCACAGAGAAAGCACACGCUAGUUGAAUCAACAUUGUUUCCACGUCAUUUCAAUGAAAUUUUGUUGAACCAACGUGGAAUAGACGUUGAAUUGAAGUCUGUGCCCUUCUACAGUUACACCCUAUUUCCUAUGGGGCCUGGUCAAAAGUAGUGCACUAUAAAGGGAAUAUGGUGCCAUUUGGGACACUGACUGCAGUGCCUGGUGGAUGGUCUAUCCCAGUUGACUGUUCUCAAACAGCUAACAGGAGAAGGGUUGUUUGAUGUAACAAAGUACCUCCAUCGUUUUGAAAAAUGAGAUCUUACGUAAGACGUAAGACUGUAUUCUCAAUAUUUACCAGAAUCUUUUUCUGUAUUUAUUUUCUGUGUGUGUUUGUGCGUGUGUGAGUGAGCGAGCGAGAGAGAGAGAAAGAAGGAGAGAAAAACUAAAAUACCUUUAAUUAGUCAUUCAUUAGGACCACAAAGACUCCAAUGGAAAUACUCCUACUAGGCUUUAUUGUGUUAUGCUCGAUGAUUUUCUGAAAUUGUCUGUGGAGGCGUCACAGGCUGAUGCGCCCUUAUAUACGUGUUGAACAAAUUGUCAAAUAAAUUCAAUCAAUUAAUAAUCCGUCAGGGCCGGAUUCAAUCCGAUCGCCUUAUUAUUGACAAAGCAGAUCAGAUCGAAUCCCUGCCCCUCAGUGUUUCCUGUGGACAUCUCUGUCCACAUCAGUGUUGCUCAGUGUAACUAGAGCUUUUCUUUUACAGUAAUAAGUACAUACAUGCUGUUCGGUUUUGGAUCAAAAAUCUCCAUGUCCGUAACAACGUUUGUCGAAUACGAACAGUUUUACAGUAUGUGAUGUGCAGUACGACAUACUCAGCUGUGUUGUUCUGAAGAUAUGCUUGUUUUUUUUUUGUUGGUGGGGGGGUUUAAUGUGUAUUUUAAGAUAGAAUCCUUCAUUAAAACAAUAACAAAGUGGUGACCCCGUCUCGUUUUUUUUUGUUGGUAAAACGAUGUGUGAUGGGCCUAGAGAAAUAUAACCACUCUCAAAUUCAUAGACAGAGCAACGGACGUAAGGACUGACCCUCCAUUAUAUCAACGUUAUACAGUAGUUGUUAAACAUGUUUUUGAGACUUUAAUGUCAAUCCCAAUGUCAUAAUGGAGAGGCUGACACCUGAUUUGGUAGACAGCUUGGAAAAGUAACCAGUAAGGAUUUAAUACGUUAUAUCGUUCCACAAGUCCACGUAAAGUCACCGAAGAUUCUAAAAAUGCAUUUUAGAAUCGCCUCCCGAGAAAGGUCACAGAUACAUAACCCCCAUCGCUUGAUGUGUUAUUAUAUCAGUCACAGAUACAUAACCCCCAUCAGUCACAGAUACAUAACCCCCAUCGCUUGCUCUGUUAUUAUAUCAGUCACAGAUACAUAACCCCCAUCGCUUGGUCAGUUAUAAUAUCAGUCACAGAUACAUAACCCCCAUCAGUCACAGAUGCAUAACCCCCGUCGCUUGGUGUGUUAAUAUAUCAGUCACAGAUACAUAACCCCCAUCGCUUGGUGUGUUAAUAUAUCAGUCACAGAUACAUAACCCCCAUCAGUCACAGAUGCAUAACCCCCGUCGCUUGGUGUGUUAAUAUAUCAGUCACAGAUACAUAACCCCCAUCGCUUGGUGUGUUAAUAUAUCAGUCACAGAUACAUAACCCCCAUCGCUUGGUCUGUUAAUAUAUCAGUCACAGAUACAUAACCCCCAUCGCUUGGUCUGUUAAUAUAUCAGUCACAGAUACAUAACCCCCAUCGCUUGGUCUGUUAAUAUAUCAGUCACAGAUACAUAACCCCCAUCAGUCACAGAUACAUAACCCCCAUCAGUCACAGAUACAUAACCCCCAUCGCUUGGUGUGUUAAUAUAUCAGUCACAGAUACAUAACCCCCAUCGCUUGGUCUGUUAAUAUAUCAGUCACAGAUACAUAACCCCCAUCAGUCACAGAUACAUAACCCCCAUCAGUCACAGAUACAUAACCCCCAUCGCUUGGUCUGUUAAUAUAUCAGUCACAGAUACAUAACCCCCAUCGCUUGGUCUGUUAAUAUAUCAGUCACAGAUACAUAACCCCCAUCAGUCACAGAUACAUAACCCCCAUCAGUCACAGAUACAUAACCCCCAUCGCUUGGUGUGUUAAUAUAUCAGUCACAGAUACAUAACCCCCAUCAGUCACAGAUACAUAACCCCCAUCAGUCACAGAUACAUAACCCCCAUCGCUUGGUGUGUUAUUAUAUCAGUCACAGAUGCAUAACCCCCAUUACUUGGUCUGUUUAUAUCCAAUUGAGCUGGUAAAUCGAAAACCAAAUCCAUGUUGAAGGAGCAUAUGAAAAGAGGUGACCAUUGGGUUGUCUGUUCCACACGUAUGAUAUUCGUACCAUGGUUCCUUUACAGAUGUUACAAAUGAAAACACAAACAUUAUAUUUUCCAACAGCAAGAACAGGUUUUAUAUUAUAAGAGCAAUAAAUAUUUUUUUUUUUUAUAUAUAUAUAUAUUUAUAUAUAUAUAUCUGCAUUUUCAUUUGAAACCAAAAUUGUAUAUAUGUAUAUACAGCAAAAAAUACAUAGAUAUUGUCUAUCUUUAAAAGAAUGCCUUCUCCGUAUGACACAACAUACUGAUUCAAUUUAACAAUCCUCCUCUCCUCUCCUCUCCUCCCUCGAGAUAUACACAACAUGUCUAUUUCUCCAUUUCCUGUCUAGUUACAGACACGUAGUAAUUACAGUCCAUUUCCUGUGUAGUUACAGACACGAAAGUAAUUACAGUCCAUUUCCUGUGUAGUUACAGACACGAAAGUAAUUACAGUCCAUUUCCUGUGUAGUUACAGACACGAAAGUAAUUACAGUCCAUUUCCUGUGUAGUUACAGACACGGAAGUAAUUACAGUCCAUUUCCUGUGUAGUUACAGACACGAAAGUAAUUACAGUCCAUUUCCUGUGUAGUUACAGACACGGAAGUAAUUACAGUCCAUUUCCUGUGUAGUUACAGACACGAAAGUAAUUACAGUCCAUUUCCUGUGUAGUUACAGACACGAAAGUAAUUACAGUCCAUUUCCUGUGUAGUUACAGACACGAAAGUAAUUACAGUCCAUUUCCUGUGUAGUUACAGACACGAAAGUAAUUACAGUCCAUUUCCUGUGUAGUUACAGACACGUAGUAAUUACAGUCCAUUUCCUGUGUAGUUACAGACACGAAAGUAAUUACAGUCCAUUUCCUGUGUAGUUACAGACACGCAAGUAAUUACAGUCCAUUUCCUGUGUAGUUACAGACACGUGGAAAAUACAGUCCAUUUCGGAGUACAUGUAUCAGUAUUAUUAAUAGAUAUUAUGUUUGUAAAACAGCUCCAUUCAGUGAAACAUGCAGGAAUCACAAUAUCAUAUCGAAAAGACGUUUAAUUUCUGUUCAGAGAGAGUGAGAGAGAAACGUCAAUACAAUGACCACUUAAACCCCUAGAUCUGUGGUCAUUUCAUCUCUAGUCUCCAUCCCUCCAUCCCUCUCUCCUUCCUAUAUCUUACAUAAGCCUCCCCACAGAGCAUGACAGCUUCUGGUGUACAGAGUGUGUAAUGUCAGGAUGCAUUGAAGUGCAGUGGC
rnacentral:lncRNA from 1 species